GACGAACGCUGGCGGCGUGCCUAACACAUGCAAGUCGAACGGGACCAGGGGCAACUCUGGUUCAGUGGCGGACGGGUGCGUAACACGUGAGGAACAUGACCUUCGGCGGGGGAGUAGCCGGCCCAACGGCCGGGUAAUACCGCGUACGACCUUUCGGGGACAUCCCUGGAUGGUGAAAGCAGCAAUGCGCCGAUGGAGUGCCUCGCGGCCUAUCAGCUAGUUGGUGAGGUAACGGCCACCAAGGCGACGACGGGUAGCUGGUCUGAGAGGAUGGCCAGCCACAUUGGGACUGAGACACGGCCCAGACUCCUACGGGAGGCAGCAGUGGGGAAUAUUGCGCAAUGGACGAAAGUCUGACGCAGCGACGCCGCGUGUGGGAUGACGGUCUCGGAU
rnacentral:rRNA from 1 species